rnacentral:rRNA from 1 species
GAUAAACGCUGGCGGCGUGCCUAAUACAUGCAAGUCGAACGAACAGACGCGGAGCUUUCUCCUCUGACAUUGGCGACUGGCGGGUGGGUAACACGUGGAUAACCUACCUAUAAGACUGGGAUAACUUCGGGAAACCGGAGCUAAUACCGAAUACUUUAUUGAACCGCAUGGUUUAAUAGUGAAAGACGGUUUUGCUUUCACUAAUAGAUGGCUUCGCGACGCAUUAGAUAGUUGGUAAGGUAACGGCUUACCAAGGCAACGAUGCGUAGCCGACCUGAGAGGGUGAUCAGCAACCGGGGAGCGGAGACACGGUCCAGACUCCGAAGGGAGGCAGCAGUAGGGAAUCUUCGGCAGUGAGCGAAAGCGUGAAGGAGCAACGCGGCGUGAGUGAUGAAGGUCUUCGGAUCGUAAAACUAUGUUAUUAGGGAAGAACAAAUGUGUAAGUAACUAUGAACGUCAUGACGGUACCUAAGCAGAAAGCCACGGCUAACUACGUG